UACAGAGGUCUCGAGCAUUAGGCGGAAUCACUGGGCUUAAAGCGUGUGUAGGCGGAUCGUUAAGUACCUUGUGAAAUCCCACGGCUUAACUGUGGAACGGCUGGGCAUACUGGCGGUCUUGAGCCAUCUAGGGGCGACUGGAACAAACGGUGGAGCGGUGAAAUGCGUAGAUAUCGUUUGGAACGCCAAUGGUGAAAACAGGUCGCUGGGGAUGCGCUGACGCUGAGACACGAAAGCCAGGGGAGCAAACGGG
rnacentral:rRNA from 1 species